rnacentral:rRNA from 1 species
UACGUAGGGGGCAAGCGUUAUCCGGAUUUACUGGGUGUAAAGGGAGCGUAGACGGCAAUACAAGUCGGAAGUGAAAUACCCGGGCUCAACCUGGGAACUGCUUUGGAAACUGUAUGGCUGGAGUGCUGGAGAGGUAAGCGGAAUUCCUAGUGUAGCGGUGAAAUGCGUAGAUAUACGGAGGAACACCAGUGGCGAAGGCGGAUUGCUGGACAGUAACUGACGCUGAGGCGCGAAAGCGUGGGGAGCAAACAGG